UACAGAGGGGGCAAGCGUUGUUCGGAAUUACUGGGCGUAAAGGGCGCGUAGGCGGCCUUCUAAGUCGAACGUGAAAUCCCCGGGCUCAACCCGGGAACUGCGUCCGAUACUGGAAGGCUUGAAUCCGGGAGAGGGAUGCGGAAUUCCAGGUGUAGCGGUGAAAUGCGUAGAUAUCUAAAGGAACACCAAUGGCGAAGGCAGCUUACUGGGUCUUUUCUGACACUGAGAUGCGAAAGCGUGGGGAGCGAACGGG
rnacentral:rRNA from 1 species